UGGGGAAUAUUGGACAAUGGGCGCAAGCCUGAUCCAGCCAUGCCGCGUGAGUGAUGAAGGCCUUCGGGUUGUAAAGCUCUUUCGACGGGGACGAUGAUGACGGUACCCGUAGAAGAAGCCCCGGCUAACUUCGUGCCAGCAGCCGCGGUAAUACGAAGGGGGCUAGCGUUGUUCGGAAUUACUGGGCGUAAAGCGCACGCAGGCGGUCCUCCAAGUCAGAAGUGAAAGCCCUGGGCUCAACCCGGGAACUGCUUUUGAUACUGGGGAACUGGAAUCACGGAGAGGGUAGGGGAAUUCCGAGUGUAGAGGUGAAAUUCGUAGAUAUUCGGAAGAACACCAGUGGCGAAGGCGCCUACCUGGCCGUCGAUUGACGCUCAUGUGCGAAAGCGUGGGGAGCAAACA
rnacentral:rRNA from 1 species